rnacentral:rRNA from 1 species
AACGAACGCUGGCGGCGUGCUUAACACAUGCAAGUCGCACGAGAAAGCCCUUCGGGGUGGGUGGAGUGGCGCACGGGUGAGUAAUGCAUAGGAACGUACCUAGAGGUGGGGAAUAACUAUCGGAAACGGUAGCUAAUACCGCAUAGUCUCGUAAGAGUAAAGGUGGCCUCUACUUGUAAGCUACCGCCACUAGAUUGGCCUAUGUCCCAUUAGCUAGUUGGUGAGGUAACGGCUCACCAAGGCGACGAUGGGUAGCUGGUCUGAGAGGACGAUCAGCCACACUGGAACUGAGACACGGUCCAGACUCCUACGGGAGGCAGCAGUGGGGAAUAUUGCACAAUGGGCGCAAGCCUGAUGCAGCAACGCCGCGUGAGUGAAGAAGGCCUUUGGGUUGUAAAGCUCUUUCGGCUGGGGAGAAGGCCUUUACGGUAAAUAAUCGUGAGGGUUGACGGUACCAGAAGAAGAAGCACCUGCUAACUACGUGCCAGCAGCCGCAGUAA